rnacentral:rRNA from 1 species
GACGAACGCUGGCGGCGUGCUUAACACAUGCAAGUCGAACGGAAAGGCCCUGCUUGCAGGGUACUCGAGUGGCGAACGGGUGAGUAACACGUGGGUGAUCUGCCCUGCACUUCGGGAUAAGCCUGGGAAACUGGGUCUAAUACCGGAUAGGAGCCAUUUUUAGUGUGAUGGUUGGAAAGUUUUUUCGGUGUAGGAUGAGCUCGCGGCCUAUCAGCUUGUUGGUGGGGUAAUGGCCUACCAAGGCGGCGGCGGGUAGCCGGCCUGAGAGGGUGGACGGCCACAUUGGGACUGAGAUAUGGCCCAGGCUCCGACGGGAGGCAGCAGUGGGGAAUAUUGCACAAUGGGCGCAAGCCUGAUGCAGAGACGCCGCGUGGGGGAUGACGGCCUUCGGGUUGUAAACUCCUUUCGCUAGGGACGAAGCUUUUUGUGACGGUACCUAGAUAAGAAGCACCGGCUAACUACGUG